rnacentral:piRNA from 1 species
UCCUCAAACAGGAAUCCCGAGGACGACGAC